GUCGCAAAAUGCUUUGAUUUUUCU
rnacentral:snRNA from 1 species